GAUGAACGCUGGCGGCGUGCCUAAUACAUGCAAGUCGAGCGAACAGACGAGGAGCUUGCUCCUCUGACGUUAGCGGCGGACGGGUGAGUAACACGUGGAUAACCUACCUAUAAGACUGGGAUAACUUCGGGAAACCGGAGCUAAUACCGGAUAAUAUAUUGAACCGCAUGGUUCAAUAGUGAAAGACGGUUUUGCUGUCACUUAUAGAUGGAUCCGCGCCGCAUUAGCUAGUUGGUAAGGUAACGGCUUACCAAGGCAACGAUGCGUAGCCGACCUGAGAGGAUGAUCGGCCACACUGGAACUGAGACACGGUCCAGACUCCUACGGGAGGCAGCAGUAGGGAAUAUUCCGCAAUGGGCGAAAGCCUGACGGAGCCACGCCGCGUGAGUGAUGAAGGUCUUCGGAUCGUAAAGCUCUGUUAUUAGGGAAGAACAAAUGUGUAAGUAACUAUGCACGUCUUGACGGUACCUAAUCAGAAAGCCACGGCUAACUACGUG
rnacentral:rRNA from 1 species